rnacentral:rRNA from 1 species
UACGUAGGGGGCAAGCGUUGUCCGGAAUCAUUGGGCGUAAAGAGCGCGUAGGCGGCCCGGUAAGUCCGCUGUGAAAGUCAAGGGCUCAACCCUUGAAUGCCGGUGGAUACUGUCGGGCUAGAGUCCGGAAGAGGCGAGUGGAAUUCCUGGUGUAGCGGUGAAAUGCGUAGAGAUCCGGAGGAACACCAGUGGCGAAGGCGACACGCUGGGCCGACACUGACGCUGAUGCGCGAAAGCCAGGGGAGCGAACGGG